rnacentral:rRNA from 1 species
AGUGAACGCUGGCGGUAGGCCUAACACAUGCAAGUCGAACGGCAGCACAGUAAGAGCUUGCUCUUACGGGUGGCGAGUGGCGGACGGGUGAGGAAUACAUCGGAAUCUACUUUUUCGUGGGGGGUAACGUAGGGAAACUUACGCUAAUACCGCAUACGACCUACGGGUGAAAGCAGGGGAUCUUCGGACCUUGCGCGAUUGAAUGAGCCGAUGUCGGAUUAGCUAGUUGGCGGGGUAAAGGCCCACCAAGGCGACGAUCCGUAGCUGGUCUGAGAGGAUGAUCAGCCAAACUGGAACUGAGACACGGUCCAGACUCCUACGGGAGGCAGCAGUGGGGAAUAUUGGACAAUGGGCGCAAGCCUGAUCCAGCCAUACCGCGUGGGUGAAGAAGGCCUUCGGGUUGUAAAGCCCUUUUGUUGGGAAAGAAAAGCAGCAGGUUAAUACCCCGCUGUUCUGACGGUACCCAAAGAAUAAGCACCGGCUAACUUCGUG